rnacentral:tRNA from 1 species
AGGCACGUAGCUCAGCGGGAGAGCGCUACCUUGACGCGGUAGAAGUCGGCGGUUCGAUCCCGCCCGUGCCUACCA